rnacentral:rRNA from 1 species
UACGGGGGGGGCAAGCGUUGUUCGGAAUUACUGGGCGUAAAGGGCUCGUAGGCGGCCAACUAAGUCGGACGUGAAAUCCCCAGGCUCAACCUGGGAACUGCGUCUGAUACUGGCGGGCUGGAAUCCGGGAGAGGGAUGUGGAAUUCCUGGUGUAGCGGUGAAAUGCGCAGAUAUCGGGAGGAACACCGGUGGCGAAGGCGGCUCUCUGGACCUGUCCUGACGCUGAGGCGCGAAAGCUAGGGGAGCGAACAGG